rnacentral:rRNA from 1 species
UACGGGGGGAGCAAGCGUUAUUCGGAAUUACUGGGCGUAAAGAGCUCGUAGGUGGUUUGUCGCGUUGUUCGUGAAAACCUGAGGCUUAACCUUGGGCGUGCGGGCGAUACGGGCAGACUGGAGUACUGCAGGGGAGACUGGAAUUCCUGGUGUAGCGGUGGAAUGCGCAGAUAUCAGGAGGAACACCGGUGGCGAAGGCGGGUCUCUGGGCAGUAACUGACGCUGAGGAGCGAAAGCGUGGGGAGCGAACAGG